CCUACGGGAGGCAGCAGUGGGGAAUUUUGGACAAUGGGCGAAAGCCUGAUCCAGCCAUGCCGCGUGCAGGAUGAAGGCCUUCGGGUUGUAAACUGCUUUUGUACGGAACGAAAAGGUCUUUUCUAAUAAAGAAGGCUUAUGACGGUACCGUAAGAAUAAGCACCGGCUAACUACGUGCCAGCAGCCGCGGUAA
rnacentral:rRNA from 1 species